AAUAAACAAAGGGCAUAUGGGGGAUACCUAGGUAUCAAGAGUCGAAGAAGGGCGUAAAAACCGACGAUAUGCUUCAUGGAGCUGGCAUUAAGCUAUGAUAUGAAGAUUCCCGAAUAGGAUAACCUUUAAAACAUUUUUCUGAAUGCAUAGGAAAAAAUGAGAAAACCAAGUGAACUGAAACAUCUUAGUAGCUUGUGGAAAAGAAAGCAAAAGCGAUUCCCGGAGUAGUGGCGAACGAAAUGGGAACAGCCCAAAAGUUAACUUAUUUGAUUAACUGGUUGAGGGAGUCCAAAAUCUUAAAAUUAUAUAUUUACGCGAAUUGUUUGAAUGACAAACCAAAGAAAGUGAUAGUCUUGUAGCUUAAAAUUUAUAAAACUAAAGAGUGACAUCCCAAGUAGCAUGAAACAUGUGGAAUUUCGUGUGAAUCUGCGAGAACCACCUCGUAAGGCUAAAUACUCCUUGAUGACCGAUAGUGAACAGUACCGCGAGGGAAUGGUGAAAAGAACCCCCAUAGGGGAGUGAAAAAGAAUAUGAAACCGUAUGCUUACAAGCAGUAGGAGGACGAUUUAACGUUUGACUGCGUGCCUGUUGAAGAAUGAGCCGGCGACUCUUUGCAUGUGGCUUGGUUAAUGAGUUCCGCUCAGAAGCCUAAGCGAAAGCGAGUGUGAAUAGCGCGUUUGUCAUAUGUAAAGGACCCGAACCCGGGUGAUCUACCCAUGGGCAGGAUGAAUCCCCAGUAAAAUGGGGUGGAGGUCCGAACCGACUUAUGUUGAAAAAUGAGCGGAUGACCUGUGGGUAGGGGUGAAAUGCCAAUCGAACUCGGAGCUAGCUGGUUCUCCCCGAAAUGCGUUGAGGCGCAGCGGUAAUUUAUGGUCCACAAAGGGGUAAAGCACUGUUUUAAUGCGGGCGGAGAGAUCUGUACCAAAUUAAUGCAAACUCAGAAUACUUUGUGUGAUUUCAAAGUGCCAGUAAGACUGUGGGGGAUAAGCUCCAUUGUCAAGAGGGAAACAGCCCAGACCACCGGCUAAGGCCCCAAAAUGUAUGCUAAGUGGUAAAGGAAGUGACAACGCAAAGACAAUCAGAAGGUUCGCCUAGAAGCAGCUAUCCUUUAAAGAGUUCGUAACAGAUCACUGAUCAAGCGUCGUUGCACCGAAAAUGAAAGGGACUAAGUAUACUGCCGAAGCUGUGGGAUCAACUUUUAAACGUUGAUCGGUAGGGGAGCGUUCUGUUCUUGAUUGAAGCAUGAUCGAAAGGACAUGUGGACAAAACAGAAGUGAGAAUGUCGGCUUGAGUAGCGAAAACAUGGGUGAGAAUCCCAUGCCCUGAGACCCUAAGGUUUCCUCUCGCAAGGCUCGUCCGCGGAGGGUUAGUCAGGAACUAAGGCGAGGCCGAACGGCGUAGUCGAUGACAAUUAGGUUAAUAUUCCUAAACUUUCUAAAAAUUAGUUAUUUGUGACGGCAAUAACAAUUCUAUCAUAGCUGCAUGGUGUUUAUGAUAUCGUUCACAUUGUCCAAGAAAAGCAGAAUAUCAUGUGUUUUUAGAAACCUGUACCAGAAACCGACACAGGUAGGGUGGUUGAGAAGACCAAGGGGCGCGAGUGAACUCUCUCUAAGGAACUCGGCAAAAUGACCCCGUAACUUCGGGAGAAGGGGUGCCUCACCAGCAAUGGGGGGCCACAGUAACAAGACCCAAGCAACUGUUUAUCAAAAACACAGGUCUCCGCAAAGUCGUAAGACAACGUAUGGGGGCUGACGCCUGCCCAGUGCCGGAAGGUUAAUUGCGGUGGUUAGUGAAGAACGAAGCCAUCAAUUGAAGCCCCGGUGAACGGCGGCCGUAACUAUAACGGU
rnacentral:rRNA from 1 species